CAAAUUAAGAUUGUUAACAACAGAGGAGGAUUGUGUGAAACAAAACCGGUUUGCUCCCCCAUCGUGUAUAUAGUUACUACUACUUAACCAAGGAUCAAGACAUGAUAACCACAACUAAAAGUAAAGCAGUAGUACCAACAUAAACUACUAACAAUAAAACGACAACGUAAAUCUACUGCUAGAGAUAAGACGGGAUAUAAUUCUACCGCUAGAAGUAUAAC
rnacentral:lncRNA from 1 species